GACGAACGCUGGCGGCGUGCUUAACACAUGCAAGUCGAACGGUGAAGCUCCAGCUUGCUGGAGUGGAUCAGUGGCGAACGGGUGAGUAACACGUGAGCAACCUGCCCCAGACUCGGGAAUAAGCGCUGGAAACGGCGUCUAAUACUGGAUACGAGAUCAAGCCGCAUGGUUAUGGUCUGGAAAGUUUUUCGGUUUGGGAUGGGCUCGCGGCCUAUCAGCUUGUUGGUGAGGUAAUGGCUCACCAAGGCGACGACGGGUAGCCGGCCUGAGAGGGCGACCGGCCACACUGGGACUGAGACACGGCCCAGACUCCUACGGGAGGCAGCAGUGGGGAAUAUUGCACAAUGGGCGAAAGCCUGAUGCAGCGACGCCGCGUGAGGGAUGACGGCCUUCGGGUUGUAAACCUCUUUCAGCAGGGAAGAAGCGAAAGUGACGGUACCUGCAGAAGAAGCACCGGCUAACUACGUG
rnacentral:rRNA from 1 species